rnacentral:rRNA from 1 species
ACGAACGCUGGCGGCGUGCCUAACACAUGCAAGUCGAACGAGAAAGCCCGCAAGGGUGAGUAGAGUGGCGCACGGGUGAGUAAUAAAUAGGAACGUAUCUUUAGGAGGGGAACAACCGUGGGAAACUACGGCUAAUACCGCGUAAAGUCGCAAGACCAAAGGGGGCCUCUACUUGUAAGCUCUCGCCUAAAGCUCGGCCUAUUUCCCAUUAGCUAGUUGGUAGGGUAAAAGCCUACCAAGGCGACGAUGGGUAGCUGGUCUGAGAGGAUGAUCAGCCACACUGGAACUGAGACACGGUCCAGACUCCUACGGGAGGCAGCAGUGGGGAAUCUUGCACAAUGGGCGCAAGCCUGAUGCAGCAACGCCGCGUGAGUGAAGAAGGUCCUUGGAUUGUAAAGCUCUUUCGGCCAGAAAGAAGGGAUUUUGCGUUAACACCGCAGAGUUCUGACGGUACUGGAAGAAGAAGCACCUGCUAACUACGU